rnacentral:rRNA from 1 species
GUGUCAGCCGCCGCGGUAAUACGGAGGAUCCAAGCGUUAUCCGGAUUUAUUGGGUUUAAAGGGUGCGUAGGCGGGGAAUCAAGUCAGCGGUGAAAGUUUGCGGCUCAACCGUAAAAUUGCCGUUGAAACUGGUUCUCUUGAGUGUAGAUGAGGUGGGUGGAAUUCGUGGUGUAGCGGUGAAAUGCUUAGAUAUCACGAAGAACUCCAAUUGCGUAGGCAGCUCACUGGGCUACAACUGACGCUGAGGCACGAAGGUGCGGGGAUCAAACAGGAUUAGAUACCCUGGUAGUCCGCACAGUAAACGAUGAAUACUAGCUGUUGGCGAUACACAGCCAGUGGCACAGCGAAAGCGUUAAGUAUUCCACCUGGGGAGUACGUUCGCAAGAAUGAAACUCAAAUGAAUUGACGG